UGCAGUCGAGCGGUAACAGAUCCAGCUUGCUGGAUGCUGACGAGCGGCGGACGGGUGAGUAAUGCAUAGGAAUCUGCCCGAUAGUGGGGGAUAACCUGGGGAAACCCAGGCUAAUACCGCAUACGUCCUACGGGAGAAAGGGGGCUCCGGCUCCCGCUAUGGGAUGAGCCUAUGUCGGAUUAGCUAGUUGGUGAGGUAACGGCUCACCAAGGCCACGAUCCGUAGCUGGUCUGAGAGGAUGAUCAGCCACAUCGGGACUGAGACACGGCCCGAACUCCUACGGGAGGCAGCAGUGGGGAAUAUUGGACAAUGGGGGAAACCCUGAUCCAGCCAUGCCGCGUGUGUGGAGAAGGCCCUCGGGUUGUAAAGCACUUUCAGCGAGGAAGAACGCCUAGCGGUUAAUACCCGCUAGGAAAGAC
rnacentral:rRNA from 1 species